AGGACGAACGCUGGCGGCGUGCUUAACACAUGCAAGUCGAGCGGAAAGGCCCUUCGGGGUACUCGAGCGGCGAACGGGUGAGUAACACGUGAGCAACCUGCCCUUAGCUUCGGGAUAGCUCCGGGAAACCGGAAUUAAUACCGGAUAUGACUAUGGCCGACAUCAGCCAUGGUGGAAAGUUUUUCGGCUAGGGAUGGACUCGCGGCCUAUCAGCUAGUUGGUGAGGUAACGGCUCACCAAGGCGACGACGGGUAGCCGGCCUGAGAGGGCGACCGGCCACACUGGGACUGAGACACGGCCCCAGACUCCUACGGGAGGCAGCAGUGGGGAAUAUUGCGCAAUGGGCGAAAGCCUGACGCAGCGACGCCGCGUGGGGAUGAAUGCCUUCGGGUUCGUAAACCCCUUUCAGCAGGGACGAAGCGAAAGUGACGGUACCUGCAGAAGAAGCGCCGGCUAACUACGCGCCAGCAGCCGC
rnacentral:rRNA from 1 species